UACGUAGGGACCAAGCGUUGUUCGGAAUUACUGGGCGUAAAGGGCGCGUAGGCGGUUCGUUAAGUCCUGUGUGAAAUCCCCCGGCUCAACUGGGGAACUGCACAGGAAACUAGCGGGCUUGAGUUCGGGAGAGGGAAGCGGAAUUCCGGGUGUAGCGGUGAAAUGCGUAGAUAUCCGGAGGAACACCGGUGGCGAAGGCGGCUUCCUGGACCGACACUGACGCUGAGGCGCGAAAGCUAGGGGAGCAAACGGG
rnacentral:rRNA from 1 species